CUACGGGCUGCAGCAGUGGGGAAUAUUGCACAAUGGGCGCAAGCCUGAUGCAGCCAUGCCGCGUGUAUGAAGAAGGCCUUCGGGUUGUAAAGUACUUUCAGCGGGGAGGAAGGGAGUAAAGUUAAUACCUUUGCUCAUUGACGUUACCCGCAGAAGAAGCACCGGCUAAGUCCGUGCCAGCAGCCGCGGUAUACGGAGGGUGCAAGCGUUAAUCGGAAUUACUGGGCGUAAAGCGCACGCAGGCGGUUUGUUAAGUCAGAUGUGAAAUCCCCGGGCUCAACCUGGGAACUGCAGCUGAUACUGGCAAGCUUGAGUCUCGUAGAGGGGGGUAGAAUUCCAGGUGUAGCGGUGAAAUGCGUAGAGAUCUGGAGGAAUACCGGUGGCGAAGGCGGCCCCCUGGACGAAGACUGACGCUCAGGUGCGAAAGCGUGGGGAGCAAACAGGAUUAGAUACCCUGGUAGUC
rnacentral:rRNA from 1 species